rnacentral:rRNA from 1 species
ACGAACGCUGGCGGCGUGCUUAACACAUGCAAGUCGAACGGAGUGAUGGCUUCGGCCAUCACUGAGUGGCGGACGGGUGAGUAACGCGUGGGAACCUGCCCAACAGUGGGGAAUAACAGCGGGAAACCGCUGCUAAUACCGCAUACGUCCUUCGGGAGAAAGGCUUCGGCCGCUGUUGGAUGGGCCCGCGUCCGAUUAGCUAGUUGGUGGGGUAACGGCCUACCAAGGCGACGAUCGGUAGCUGGUCUGAGAGGACGACCAGCCACACUGGGACUGAGACACGGCCCAGACUCCUACGGGAGGCAGCAGUGGGGAAUAUUGGACAAUGGGGGAAACCCUGAUCCAGCGACGCCGCGUGAGUGAAGAAGGCCUUAGGGUUGUAAAGCUCUUUCACCGGGGAAGAUGAUGACGGUACCCGGAGAAGAAGCCCCGGCUAACUCCGU